rnacentral:rRNA from 1 species
UGAGGAAUAUUGGUCAAUGGACGAGAGUCUGAACCAGCCAAGUAGCGUGCAGGAUGACGGCCCUAUGGGUUGUAAACUGCUUUUAUAAGGGAAUAAAGUGAGUCUCGUGAGACUUUUUGCAUGUACCUUAUGAAUAAGGACCGGCUAAUUCCGUGCCAGCAGCCGCGGUAAUACGGAAGGUCCGGGCGUUAUCCGGAUUUAUUGGGUUUAAAGGGAGCGUAGGCCGGAGAUUAAGCGUGUUGUGAAAUGUAGACGCUCAACGUCUGCACUGCAGCGCGAACUGGUUUCCUUGAGUACGCACAAAGUGGGCGGAAUUCGUGGUGUAGCGGUGAAAUGCUUAGAUAUCACGAAGAACUCCGAUUGCGAAGGCAGCUCACUGGAGCGCAACUGACGCUGAAGCUCGAAAGUGCGGGUAUCGAACA